rnacentral:rRNA from 1 species
UCGAGGGGCAGCACAGAUUGCUUGCGAUCAGGUGGCGACCGGCGCACGGGUGCGUAACGCGUAUGCAACCUACCUUUUACAGGGGGAUAGUCAAUAGAAAUGUUGAAUAAUACCCCAUACGAUCCUAUUUAGGCAUCUAAAUAGGAGGAAAACUCCGGUGGUAAAAGAUGGGCAUGCGUCCUAUUAGCUAGAUGGUGAGGUAACGGCUCACCAUGGCUACGAUAGGUAGGGGUCCUGAGAGGGAGAUCCCCCACACUGGUACUGAGACACGGACCAGACUCCUACGGGAGGCAGCAGUGAGGAAUAUUGGACAAUGGAGGCAACUCUGAUCCAGCCAUGCCGCGUGCAGGAAGACGGCCCUAUGGGUUGUAAACUGCUUUUAUACAGGAAGAAUGUUACCUACGCGUAGGUAUUUGACGGUACUGUAAGAAUAAGGAUCGGCUAACUCCGUGCCAGCAGCCGCGGUAAUACGGAGGAUCCAAGCGUUAUCCGGAAUCAUUGGGUCUAAAGGGUCCGCAGGCGGUUCAUUAAGUCAGAGGUGAAAUCCUAUCGCUCAACGGUAGCAUUGCCUUUGAUACUGAUGGACUUGAGUUAUAGUGAAGUAGUUAGAAUGUGUAGUGUAGCGGUGAAAUGCAUAGAUAUUACACAGAAUACCGAUUGCGAAAGCAGAUUACUAACUGUAUACUGACGCUGAGGGACGAGAGCGUGGGUAGCGAACAGGAUUAGAUACCCUGGUAGUCCACGCCGUAAACGAUGGAUACUAGCUGUUCGGCCAACAAUGGUUGGGUGAGUGGCU